rnacentral:rRNA from 1 species
GACGAACGCUGGCGGCGUGCUUAACACAUGCAAGUCGAACGGAAAGGCCCUGCUUUUGUGGGGUGCUCAAGUGGCGAACGGGUGAGUAACACGUGAGUAACCUGCCCUUGACUUUGGGAUAACUUCAGGAAACUGGGGCUAAUACCGGAUAGGAGCUCCUGCUGCAUGGUGGGGGUUGGAAAGUUUCGGCGGUUGGGGAUGGACUCGCGGCUUAUCAGCUUGUUGGUGGGGUAGUGGCUUACCAAGGCUUUGACGGGUAGCCGGCCUGAGAGGGUGACCGGCCACAUUGGGACUGAGAUACGGCCCAGACUCCUACGGGAGGCAGCAGUGGGGAAUAGUGCACAAUGGGCGGAAGCCUGAUGCAGCAACGCCGCGUGCGGGAUGACGGCCUUCGGGUUGUAAACCGCUUUCGCCUGUGACGAAGCGUGAGUGACGGUAAUGGGUAAAGAAGCACCGGCUAACUACGUG